UUACUGGUGAGUACUUACAAAACUUCGUAAGUUGUUGUUUUUAAAAUGUUAUAGUAUCUUUUUAUCUGACGUAUUUUUAUUUUUAAAAUAUAUAAGUAUUUUCAAAACAGCACUGAAUUGCACGGCAGAGUCCCAGGGACAGGGAAAUUGAAUCAGUGGAUCAAGAAAGACGACAUAUUUCUUAGAGGAACGCCAUAUAUUUGAUGAAAUUCCCCAAAGAAAUUGCGGCAUAUGCUCAUGGUUGUUAGAGACAAAGAAGAAAUAUCCAACCAAAAAGCCCCGGAGUAGAGACACUAAUUGUGUCCCAGAUACUCCAGUGACAAGGGCUAUUGAGCAGCAGGCACCAGAGGGCAUCGAGACACCGAUUGUGAUAUACGAUACACAGGAUUUGUAUCCAUCAUCCCAGACCAUAUGGAUCACUGAUACAUCAGUGCCAGGACCUUCUGAACAGCCUAUUGGAAUUCUGCACACCCCGAACCUGAGAGAGGAGGCAUUAAUAAUAGCCCCAAGUCUUCUGCCUCCUGAGUCUGCAUCCGAAGAGCCUUUAGGGUUACUGGACUGGACAGACACCCAGAUCCAGUGUUGGGACCAUGCAGAUGCAGGAUUUAAUCCGAACCACAAAGUCUCAUUAUCAGAUGUAUCAAAAUUUGAACAGCAUUUGCGUGUUAAUAUUCUAGUUUUUCACCACAAUCACAGCACAAAAAAACUGUAUAUAUGCCAGACACGAGAGCAACCCCAGAAAGACACAGUAUGACUCUACCUGUAUGAGGAACAUUACUACACGAUACAAAACAGGAUUUUUUGGAAGCGACUAUGUGAAUCCUGUUACCAGGGUUAUAAAAGCCAGGCUUACCACAAAGAGUGUCAUAAGCAGCAGGAUUUGAAAAACACAGGAUGUCCAGAUUGUCAGCGCAUUUACAGAUCGGUGUCUUGCAGUGUUGUAGUCAAGACCACCUGGACUGAGACAAAACCAAGACUUUGAGACCAAGACAGGGCAAGACCAAGUCAAGACCAAGCAAAAACGUAACUCAGGAACAACAAUUUGUCACCACAUGCCCUAUCCCCUCAAUUUAUCACAAAGUUAACACCGCAUUAGCUAGCGUUGCAUCCCUCAAUAUACAGUAUGUUAACUAAAUUAGGUAGCUUGUGCACCUAGCUAUGUGGCAAAUUGGUGGCAAGCAACUGAAACUAACGACCUGCGUUUAUUUGUCAAAACGUGUAGCCACAUCCAGCCAGUAAAAGGGAUCGGUGUCCAAUUGGGGCUCAGCUUUUAAUUGAAGUCUUACGGUAGGUAGCUAAUAUGUAUAGCUAAUAUUCGCUAAAUCUCUUUGGGUGAGGCAAAGCGUUUUGGUGCAGAGGCAGAUUGCUGACAUUAGCUAGCUAGCUUUGCUAGUGUCAGUUAAACUUAUAUUACCUUUCUUUAUGCUUCCUUUUGGAGGUCUGUUAAAAUCAGACAUACAACAUCAGCGUUUUGUACAACCUGAAAAACCGUCACCACCUAAUAUGUCUUUUAUGACUUUGAAACGCGAACACAUGACAACAAGCACAAAGCCGUUUUUGUCUGAGUGAUUGAUUUUGAGAACCAUAAAUGGUGUGCCUCUGGUGAAAAUUGCAUCAAUGUCUUGUGAAAAAAUGUAGGCAGCCAAAGUACAAAAACUACAAGUUAAUCGCGCACAACGCGUCAGGAUUUGAUAAUUACAUCAUGUUGGAAUACUAAACCAACCAGAUCACCCCGAGAUGAGUGCGCAGUAGUAAAGUCAUAUCAAUGAGCGACGGCGUAUACAAACGAAGGUGGCUCGAUUCUUUCAGUUUUCUCCCAAUGCUUUUGUUGAGAGCUCCCAAAGCGUUAGGGUUCGAAGAUGCCAAAAAAGGCUAUUUCCCACACCUAUUCAGCACUGCCAAAAAUGCUACCUAUGUAGGUCCGUACCGUGAGCCAUUCUUUUAUGGAUAUGACAACAUGUCUGACAAAGACAGAACAGCUUUCAUGCAGUAGUACAAUACAGUGCGUCAUGGGGUGUUUGAUUUCCAGGCUGAGCUUCAUGCAUAUGGGAUCAGAGAUGUUGUUGUGUUGCGUAAAGCGUGCAUUGUGUACCAUGUUGUGUUCAUGUUGCAUGGCUGUGAUUAAAACAUAUUUCCUGCCCCCUGACACACUGUCAUUGACAUAUGAUGGUGCUUACAUCAAUCAAAACAAGUCUUUCUAAUGCGUCUAUACAGUGGCUUGAAUUUGAGGCUUUCAAAAACAAGAUAGAAAUUCGGCAUGCCCUCAGUCAUGGGGAAGAACAAUUUGCAGAGCAUUAGAGCCUUAGCAUGAGCUAGUUUAACAGCAGGAGAUACUGUGACCUUCUUUACAAACAGGCUUGCUGAUAGAAUAUUGACUCGAAAGUCAUCUACAGUGUUACACGUUAAACAAAAUUCAUUUUUAGCUCUAAUAAAUUUGAUCUUAAUAUCAACACUGUUUAUCAUUAACUUGUCCUGAAAAAACAAAUCAGAAUGUAAAGGAGCAAUUAAUUCUACCACACAGCCUCAUUCUGUAUACUCCAUUCUCUUAACAAGUCUUUCGUUAUCUCCUCCAAACUGCGUCUGCAGAGUAUCCUUCCCAUAAUUUAAAAGACAUUCUACAAUACAUCGAUAAAGAUAGGUGUUUGACGACUGUGUUAUGAGCCUAUCCCCCAGCGAAAUGUCCACUUGUGAAAAUAUUGUAUAACCCGGGUAGUUAAUAAAUCCCACUUCGUCUCCUUGUGCCAGAUUUCCCCCGUUAGCUUUAGUGAUCUUAACACGUGUAUAUAGAAAAGUAUUAUUCAGAUCCAGAUAGUCCUCGGUGCUUGGCGGGACAAAAAAUUCUAUUGGCGCAGAGUGUGGGGAGGGGGGAUUUUGACGUAGAUACAUUUCUCAAUACUUGUUUGUGUCUAAUUCCGAUUAACACAUGCUUUCGACAUAUUAUGUACCAAAGCCAUUCCUGCUAGAAUAUAUCUCUUAUGACGUUUUGCCGACUUGCUUCUCCUUGCUCAUGUAUUUUUUUCUUGUCCUAGUUUCGCUCUUUUUAUUUAAUAUUUGGCAACGCCUCUUUGGUUGGGAACUCCCCCUUUGUCCAGGCGGACGUUUUAUUGGUCAAUGUGAUAUUUCCAUUAUUCCUGACCCCUCUUGCUGUUUGUUGCUAUGAUUCAUCAGAAACAAUGUUUUUAGCUGCUGUCUUGCGGUGCUGCGAGGGUAAAUCCUUUCUUGAGCAGAGGAAAUGCAGAUUUAAGCCGCGAAAAAGACCAGCCCCAUAUUGAGAACCAAGGCUGCUGUAUUCUGCUAAAUCACCACCCACUUGCGCUGUAUAGUACGCAAUGUAUCUAUCCAUAUUGUGCAUAUACGCUUGAUAAAUGGUCACUCCUUGUCUAAAAGUGAUAUGUUGCGGGUUGGAAGUGUAGUUUUAUAAUUACUUUUCCAUAUGUAAUAGAAAUAUAUUGAUUCUGAUCUGACUUGAGAGAUAUUUCAAUGCUGUCAAUGUGUGUUUUACAGAGCCUAAGGUAGUGUGGCCUAUCGUACGUUUUUGUGAUCAUAUGAUUGUUUGGUCCUGCAAUAUAUAUGAUUCUUAAAAGAGGCACAUGACUGUGUCCUACAGUUUGAUAUUCUAUAAUAUCGGAAUAGAUGAAAAUGUUGGACAUCCCAACAUUAAUAUCAGCUGGAUGUGGUGCGAUAUACACAUUGAGUGAUAUACGAUAUAUCCUCAUUGAUUACAGUGUCCUCAGGGGUUUCAAAGACUUCUCCAGGUAUAAAUAAAUAAAUAAAUAAAUCCCAACAUUUGAGCAAGUUUUCCUUGAAAUGUGAAUUCCAGGCCUCUUAAUGGUAAAACAGACACUCUGUUUGUGAUGGUGUUGUAACAAUGUUUGAUGUACUCCAUAUCUUUCAUAGAUAAGUGGGUGUUUAUUUCCGUUAUUUACUGUGACAUGGUUGUGAAGAAUCCUGGUGUCACAGUUAGACAGGCCCGCAGGUACUUUAAUCUGAAAAGGUUUGUUCUGAAAUUUGCUAUUGUGUUGUUGGGGUAAAAUAAUGCAGAAGAAUUGCUAAGGUAACGUAACAAAAAAACAUCAGACAGUAAUGUCAGUAUGCAGUACACUUGAAAAACCCUACAGUAACUGAAUUACCUAUUUUUCUGAAAUCUGAAGGUUAAAUUUAUCUAGCCAGCCCAUCCAUUUGACUAGUACCAUAUUCCGACCCUGUCUUCUCUUUCUAGAUAAGAUCUUUUCUAUUUUAAACGUUUUGUCUUUAUCCACAAUAACUUUUAGCAACUUGGGUUCAUAGAAGGUCCCCCUGUAUUACCUCAUCAUCAUAAUCUUUUAACUUAUGAACAGGAGGUCUCCGCAGUACACAUUCCAUUACCGUGAACUAUUCAUUAUAAUUUUGCUCGUAACCUUUUUUAAAAGGUCCCCUUAAUUUUGAAAAUUAAGGGGGACGACUUUGAAAU